rnacentral:rRNA from 1 species
CAGUAGCCGCGGGAAAACGAGGGGAGCUAGCGUUAUUCGGAAUUACUGGGCGUAAAGCGCACGUAGGCGGCUUUGUAAGUUAGAGGUGAAAGCCCAGAGCUCAACUCUGGAAUUGCCUUUAAGACUGCAUCGCUUGAAUCCAGGAGAGGUGAGUGGAAUUCCGAGUGUAGAGGUGAAAUUCGUAGAUAUUCGGAAGAACACCAGUGGCGAAGGCGGCUCACUGGACUGGUAUUGACGCUGAGGUGCGAAAGCGUGGGGAACAAACAGGAUUAGAUACCCCUGUAGUCCCUGUCUCUUAUAC